UACGUAGGGUGCUAGCGUUGUCCGGAAUUAUUGGGCGUAAAGAGCUCGUAGGCGGUUUGUCGCGUCUGCUGUGAAAACUGGGGGCUCAACCCCCAGCCUGCAGUGGGUACGGGCAGACUAGAGUGCGGUAGGGGAGAUUGGAAUUCCUGGUGUAGCGGUGGAAUGCGCAGAUAUCAGGAGGAACACCGAUGGCGAAGGCAGAUCUCUGGGCCGUAACUGACGCUGAGGAGCGAAAGCGUGGGGAGCGAACAGG
rnacentral:rRNA from 1 species